CUAAUCCAAUGGACUAGAUCAAUUUGCGACAAAAGCAUUAUCUCUGUCUUCCACGUAUCAGAAACAAGUGGCCUAAAAGGCAUUGAAACACACACUUUUUAAUAUAAACGAAAAAGAAAAUAUUUCAUUGGUCAAUAUAUGAUGGCAUGGAUUACAAUCUGAGGCCAUUCAUUAACUAUGAUCCAAUGGCUAAGAAAAUUAUAUCCUUCUGCUCAUCUCUCUCCAUCUGCAAGUUGUUAUUUUUUUAUGUCUCUUCUUUUCCAGAUCUUACAGGUUUCUCUCAAAAAUUACAUUUUUCUGUAGAUUGGCAAACUUAUUUUUUUCACUCUAUCUCCUUUAUUUUCUGUAGACUGGCAAACUUAUCUUUUUUCUGUAGAUUUCUCCACGGUUCUUUUACUCCAGGAGAAGUAGCAAUGAGUCCUUCACCAAUCUACAAAGAUGAUGAAGGACCAGAAAAAGACGAUAGCUUGGGUCAACAACGACAAGAGCUUCAACGAGGAUGAAGAAGAUCGUUUGACACCACCACCACAGAUCCAAGGACAUGUGCGACAUGAGUAAGAAAAUAGAGGUUGUGGAGGCUGGAGUAAGAGAACCGUGGCUUCAGGCGGGUGCCGUGGAGGCUGAGGAGAAUAGAGGUUGUGGAGGCUGGAGUAAGAGAACCGUGGCUUCAGGCGGGUGCUGUGGAGGCUGGAGGCAGAGGCGGAGGCUCUGUUAGCAGUAGAUUAGGUUUAGGUUAAGCUUAAUCAUGUUUUGGUUAGUUAUUAGAUUUUGGUUAGUUAGAUUUUGGUUUAAAUUUUUAUUAGUUUUUGGUUUAAUGUUAUCGAUUGGUCAUUGUUUUCUUUUCUUUGUAUACUGAUAUGAAUUAAUAAAUAAAAUUUCAUCUUUGAAUUAA